rnacentral:rRNA from 1 species
GACAGAGGGUGCAAACGUUUGUUCGGAAUUACUGGGCGUAAAGCGCGUGUAGGCUGCUUGGAAAGUCGGAUGUGAAAGCCCCGGGCUCAACCUGGGAAGUGCAUUCGAAACUUCCGAGCUGGAGUCCUGGAGAGGAAGGCGGAAUUCUCGGUGUAGAGGUGAAAUUCGUAGAUAUCGAGAGGAACACCGGUGGCGAAGGCGGCCUUCUGGACAGUGGACUGACGCUGAGACGCGAAAGCGUGGGGAGCAAACAGG